AUGCCCAGCAGAGUGUUGACUUCAUUGUGGGGGAGCGGGGAGCCAUGGAGGGCUCUGAGUGGGUGGUUGGGGGGUGAAGGGGGCAGGACCACCAGGGGGAAAGGACAGGAGGGUCACUGUAGGGGCAGGAUGGGAGAGCGAUGGAGGAGGCUGUGGGGACACCCAGGUGGGAGAUCUGAGAGUCUGACGCAGGUUGGUGGCUGUGGGUGGCGAGCAGUGGACAGACAGAGGGCCUCCAAAGCAGGACAACCAGGCUCCAUGGGGCCCCCGAUCGGAGCCCUGAGCCCUCACCCGGCCCACCCACUGCCCAUCUCGGGCACUGACCUCUGCAGUGGGACCUCUUCCAGCAGCUCCUCCUCCUCCUCCCUGUGGAAACAGACGAAGCAGAAGGCUGGCACAUCCUCCACUCCACAGCCCAGGGGCCAGGCCGGAGGCAGCUCCAGGACGGGGCAAGGGUGGCUGGUGGUGGCCUCGGCAGCAUCGUCCCUCGCCUGGGCAGGGGUCCCCGAGCCAGUGUGCUCCAGGAUCCUCCGAUGCCACCUCCUGCCUGAUGCCACCUCCUGCCUGCGUUGGUGCAGCGCUCAGCAUAUGGAUCUUGGACAGUGCGCCCUGGCCACCUGAACCUGCCCUGCAUACCUCCACAGAGCCUGGUAAGACGGGGGCAGGGGUUGGGGGAGGAGGCUCAGGGCAGCGCCCCAGGAGUGGGCAGGGCUCUGAGCUCCAGGGAGUGUCCCUGGGACUCCUUCACUUGCGCAUCCAUCCCCGAGUUCCCUCCACAUUCCCUUAACAAACAGCUACGGUCACCAACUCUGGGUCCAGUUCUGUCAUUUGGUGGGGAGUCCCUGACUCCCACCAAAAGAACCAUGCACAGCCCCUGGGAGACGCAGAGACGACCGUAUGCAGCCCCUGGUAUAUUCUAUGGAAGAGUGUGAGAAGGGGAUGGGAGUGGGGGAAUGUGAGUCGAAUUUGUUUGCUUGAGGGAGUUCCCUGGUGGCACAGUGGGUUAAGGAUACAGUGUUGUCACGGCUGUGGCACAGUUUUGAUCCCCAGCCUGGGAACUUCUGCAGGCUGCGGGCAUGGCC
rnacentral:lncRNA from 9 species